rnacentral:rRNA from 1 species
AUGAACGCUGGCGGCGUGCCUAAUACAUGCCAGUCGCGCGAACAGACGAGGAGCUUGCUCCUCUGACGUUAGCGGCGGACGGGUGAGUAACACGUGGAUAACGUACCUAUAAGACUGGGAUAACUUCGGGAAACCGGAGCUAAUACCGGAUAAUAUAUUGAACCGCAUGGUUCAAUAGUGAAAGACGGUUUUGCUGUCACUUAUAGAUGGAUCCGCGCCGCAUUAGCUAGUUGGUAAGGUAACGGCUUACCAAGGCAACGAUGCGUAGCCGACCUGAGAGGGUGAUCGGCCACACUGGAACUGAGACACGGUCCAGACUCCUACGGGAGGCAGCAGUAGGGAAUCUUCCGCAAUGGGCGAAAGCCUGACGGAGCAACGCCGCGUGAGUGAUGAAGGUCUUCGGAUCGUAAAACUCUGUUAUUAGGGAAGAACAAAUGUGUAAGUAACUAUGCACGUCUUGACGGUACCUAAUCAGAAAGCCACGGCUAACUACGUG